rnacentral:lncRNA from 1 species
CUUCACUUUUGUCCUUUUCCUGUAGCUGGCAGCCCUCAUUCCCUUCCUCUUCUAGCAAAAAACAUUCUAUUCUUUUUCAUUGAGGUUCCCAUGAUCAUAUUAGAGCUGCACACAUUGCAUUGUUGGCAUUUGUCUGUAUAUCAAUGUCUUCCACCUUGAACUCCAUGAAAUCAGGAACAGGCCUGCUUUUUUGUUCCGUUUUUUAAAUUUAUUGAAAGAGCUACGUCACCCCCCCCCAUCAUCUUCCUAUUGUUUUCCUCCCCUUACAACUGCCCUGGUGUUCUUGUAAGCACUAUUCCAAGGAGUUUAGUUUUCCUCAUGGGUGUGGAUGAUUGGGAACAUUUAAAUUUCAGCCAUGACUAGAAGAGGUAAUGAAGAGAUUCAUAAUUGUUAAUGGAUCUUCCGUUAAAGGUUGGUUUCAUGCUUUUCAAAAUGACACAGAAGCUGCUAUUUGUCUUUACAGAAUAUGUCCUGGCUUCUUAGAGAACUGUUGGGUGAAGAUUAUUUCUCUUCAGGAUGAAGAUCUUGCCAAAAUGUUGUAUCCAUGUCCCUGCUAGUAUUACCUACUGUUCCAGAAACCUGGUUUGCGGAUAAAAAGUCACUGAGCCCUUCCGUGCCGUCGGUGGCAGGUCCCAUCAUCAUUCCCAGAUGGAGCUGUGGAUAUUUGAGAGCUGCGCUCCAGGUGUGGAUAUGUGGGGGUGGACUCAAGAGUGUGGGAGCCGUCGUGAUGCCGGGUCAAAGGGACAAGCACUCGAGGAUACCUCGUUAGGAGGACUCCCUGUUUCAGGGCCCCGAGCUGGGGUUCACACCUCCUCAA